CACGUAGGGCGCAAGCGUUGUCCGGAAUUAUUGGGCGUAAAGAGCUCGUAGGUGGUUUGUUACGUCUGCUGUGAAAACCCGGGGCUUAACCCCUGGCUUGCAGUGGAUACGGACAGACUAGAGGUAGGUAGGGGAGAAUGGAAUUCCCGGUGUAGCGGUGAAAUGCGCAGAUAUCGGGAGGAACACCGGUGGCGAAGGCGGUUCUCUGGGCCUUACCUGACGCUGAGGAGCGAAAGCGUGGGGAGCGAACAGG
rnacentral:rRNA from 1 species